GACGAACGCUGGCGGCGUGCCUAACACAUGCAAGUCGAGCGAUUCAGAAGUCGGGUAUCAAUCCGACCUCUGGAUAGCGGCGGACGGGUGAGUAACACGUGGGUAAUCUGCCCUACGGACCGGGAUAACACACCGAAAGGGGUGCUAAUACCGGAUAAAGUCAUCAUAUGGCAUCAUAAGAUGAAGAAAGGAGAAAUCCGCCAAAGGAGGAGCCCGCGUCCCAUUAGUUAGUUGGCGGGGUAAAAGCCCACCAAGGCGACGAUGGGUAGCCGGGCCUGAGAGGGUGAACGGCCACACUGGGACUGAGACACGGCCCAGACUCCUACGGGAGGCAGCAUG
rnacentral:rRNA from 1 species